CACACCAACGUACCUACAUUCACUGCUGCAGUAACGGAGGUCGACUCGCUGUCACUGUCAGGUGCCGAGCAGACCGACUCCAGGAUCAUAUCAAGCGACAUCCUCUCUGUGCAGCUCGCUAAAGGAUUUACAUCACCACGCUCUGUGUAUGAAUUGUGACUGAUAAAGGGCCCAAGGUUUGUGUGGAAUUUCGCAACAAAGGAUUCCUGUGUGCCCUGGAAUAUAUCAACUUAAAAUGAGACACUUUUGAGCACUGAGCUGUAAGAUUGGGGCCAUACUGCACGUGGAUGCCUCCGACCCUCGCUGGAUGAUUCCAUCUCUGUGAUGAAAGGCUUAUCCAGUAGCCGCAGCCACCAUCACAUGGUGACCUGCGACCCCUCCUUGGACUCCAUGGGUCACCACUUGGACCACAAGCCCUACCUCAUCAGUCAGAUCGACAACCCCCACCCGACCGACCACUCAUACUACAGCCAGAGAAGCCCCUACCAGCCUGACUGCGUGGUGCCUUAUGGGACCUUCCCCCGCCGACACUACAGCUCUCCACACGAGCUGAAGGACGAGACUGCCUUGGUUCCCUACACUGGGGGAUGUGUUCCAGCCAACAAGGGCCAGCGUGUCCCCGUUCCCCUGUUGGAUCAGUUCGACCGCCAACUCCCAGUGCCUCGGGACGGCUAUCACACGCUACAGUACAAGCGUGCCGCCGCAGCCUUGGAGCAACGGAGCGACAGCCCCGGACGAAUCCGGCACCUGGUGCACUCCGUUCAGAAGCUCUUCACCAAGUCCCACUCGCUAGAGGGCCCACACCACGCUCAUGGCCACGGCAAGAGCAGCAUCAACGGAGGCAAGGCCAGCCCCGACGGAGAGCCCCCCGCCAUUCGACACCGCAAGCGCAGCAAGAGCAGGGAGCGCUGCAAGUCGGCCGAGCCCAAGAACCGGACGCCACCGUCUGGCUACUGGAGCUCUGACGACUUGGAACGCGAGGCCUGCCUGUUCCACCACGGACCUCCGGGCGUCAUGACCAUGGGCCGCCACCCUGACAAGUCGCAGUCGCAGUACUUCCUGGAGUCCUACAACACCAUCAAUGACCAGGCGCUUAAAAACUCGCGCAGCAACAACGACAUAGGGAAAUGUUCGUCGCGCGUGCCGCUGAGCGUGGACGCAACACAGCUCAUGAAGAAGAGCUCGUGGUCGUCCUCUCUCACGGUGAGCAGAGCACAUCAAGUCUACCAGAAGGCCUCUGUAAAUGUAGAUAAGGCUCUAGUGAAAGCAGAGGCUUGUCAGCAGGAGCGCUCAUGCCAAUUCUUGCAGGUCCCUCAAGAUGAGUGGGGGGGCUUUCCAUUGGGGAAGGACGAGGAUAUCCCAUUCAGACGCAUGCGCAGCGGCAGCUACGUGAAAGCCAUGGCGGAGGAUGACAGCGGAGACUCGGACGGCAGCCCUAAACCCUCACCCAAGAUGCAGGCGCGACGAGCCAGCUACCUCAAAGCCACACAGCCAUCAUUGACGGAGAUGACCACUCUAAAGAUCUCCCAAGAGCAUUCUCCAAAGCUUUCGAUCCGGAGUCACAGCUACUUGCGGGCGGUGAGUGAAGUCUCCAUCAAUAGGAGCGUGGACACCCUGGACCCCAAAGCUCUGCUAGCCUCUGCCCAAUACCGCUCGCGCAAUGAGAGCUACAUGAGGGCUAUGAGCACCAUCAGCCAGGUGAGUGAGGUGGAGGUUAACGGGCAGAUCGAGGCCAUGUGCGAGAGCAUGUUCAGCGAAAUGGAGUCCCAGGCAGUGGAUGCCCUGGACCUGCCCAUGCCCGGGUGCUUCCGCAUGAGGAGUCACAGUUACGUGCGUGCUAUUGACCAGGGCUGCUCGCAGGAUGAGGAAGAACCUUUGCUACCAGUCUCCCCACCACGGACCACCACUACUGUCAGAACAAUACAGAGCAGCACAGUGUCAUCAUGUAUCACAACCUACAAAAAGACUCCACCGCCAGUUCCUCCUCGCACCUCCACCAAGCCCUUCAUCUCCAUCACGGCCCAGAGCAGCACAGAGUCAGCGCAGGAUGCUUACAUGGAAGGUCCUGGGACGUGUGGCGAGCCAGUCCUCCACUCCGGUCUGAGCAAUUCCACCGAGAGUAUUGACAGCAUGAAAGCCCUGACGGCAGCCAUCGAGGCGGCCAAUGCUCAGAUCCACGGCCCUGCCAGUCAGCACGUCAAUAACAGCUCGGUCACCAUCAGCACUAGCCCCUACUCUCCGCUGCCCAUGCCUCUGCCCGUACCCAUUCCUAUACCAGCUCUUGAAGACAUUCGAAGGGAUGUGCUCAGGAAGAGCAGGUGCCUUUCUAUUGGCAUCCAGGUGGAUGGGCCUGAGGAUCAGGAAAUAGAGGACCCGUCCAAGUUCCAGUCAGUUGGGAUUCAGGUUGAAGUGGAGCAUGGUCACCGUCGGUUCACACGUUCUAACAGCGUGACGGCAGCAGUACAGGCCAAUCUGGACACUCCAGACUACACACCAGCUGACUCUCCUGUCACAGAUUUCCCCGCCUCGGGCUGCAUGUCACGGCAAUACUCGCGUGAUGCCGCCACCUCCACCGUCAGCAUCCAGGGCUCAGGGAACCACUACCACGCCUGCACAUCAGAUGACUACGAGGACGUUGGAUUCGACCCCUCCAUCUUGCCCCCGCCCGAUCCGUGGAUUGACAGCGUAACGGAAGACCCCCUGGAGGUUGUGGGCCGCUCGGUGUGUCAGCGUGACGGCCGCUGGUUCCUCAAGCUUCUGCAGGCGGAAACAGAGCGUAUGGAGGGCUGGUGCAGGCAGAUGGAACAUGACGAGAGGGAAAACAAGCUUCCUGAUGAUAUCCUCGGGAAGAUCCGCAGUGCAGUGGGAAGUGCACAGCUGCUUAUGUCUCAGAAAUUCCAGCAGUUCCGAGAGCUGUGUGAGGAAAAUUUGAACCCAAACGCUCACCCACGGCCGGUGGCUCAGGAUCUGGCAGGGUUCUGGGAUAUGCUCCAGCUCUCCAUUGAGAAUAUCAGCCUGAAGUUUGAUGAGCUGCACCAGCUCAAAGCCAACAACUGGAGAGCCCUCGACCCCCCUGAAAGAAAGGAGAGAAGGCUGCCUCCCCCAGUGCCAAAGAAACCCCCGAAAGGCCACCCUCCUCUGGCCAGGGACCGAUCACUGGAGAGCACAGAGAAGCAGCGUCAGGAGGCUCGCAAACGCUUGAUGGCAGCCAAGCGGGCCGCUUCCGUGCGGCAGAACUCGGCCACAGAGAGCGCAGACAGCAUCGAGAUCUAUAUACCCGAGGCCCAGACCAGACUAUGAAACUGCCAGACACAUAAACACACAUUCACACACAAAUUACACCGUAAGCACAACACAUCACACUGAUAUAUACAGUAUUUGCCUACUGCAUCGAUCACUGGUAGGGUCAACACACACCAACGCCAUGAUAGCACAGAAUUAUAAAUUCAAUCUUUCAUUAUUUAAAAAAAUGAUAACCCUACAUCAUAUUUUAAUGACCCUAAGCCAUCAUUGCAGUAGAUCAUUGACACACACAUAUAUGCUAUUUGGAGCUCAGUCACUUUAUAUACAGUAUACUGCUUUUUUCUCAUGCUUGUGUAGUUUACAAACUGUUUCUAAACACAAAUAUAUCUAUCUAUCUAUCCAUCUAUAUAUAUAUAUAUAUAUAUAUAUAUAUAUAUGAAAUCUACACACACGGGCACUGUUAUACAUGCACAUAUGUGUGUACUGACCUCUCUGAGAGCCAUUCGCUCACCAUGUCGAUACACAUGGGCAUAUACACGAAUAUAUACUUUAUCAUUAAACAGUUCGACACACACUUACAACAAACAAACAUGCGUAUUCACUCUGAAUGACGUGGACUGGGUGUUUGUAAUAUAAUGUGUUUUCCCUUAAAGGAGCGUUAUAGCAGGUUUAAUGUCUCGCUUCGCCAGUCUUUCCCAUUUGUCUCUCUCUCAUUCUGUCUUAAGCCUACGAUCUGAAGUGACCAUAGUGAAUUAUGUUCCUAGACAUGUGAAGUAGGUAUCACUUCAGUAGAAAACCCUCUGUCGGUCCUUCUCAGUAGUGCCAUCUAGCAAACACUGUAUCCAGUUUGCUGUAGUAUUUUAAGUAUUUUUUCUUCAGCAGAGCAAAAUUACUUUUUUAUUUCUGUUUCCAUUCCUGCCCCCUCUUUUCCCUCUUCUUUUUCUUAACGUUAACUCAAUUUGGAAAAUAUUACCACGUAACAGGGUAUUUUGAGCUACAAGCAAUACGCGUUUAAAAAUGAUGUUAAACUGCAUUUCUUUCAAUGUAGUGAUUCUAACUGAUUCAUUGAUGAUGAAAAGAUGCCUUCGCUAUCCUGUAGCCUGUUCAUUUUGGUUUAAAUCUCUUUAUGUGGAACAUUUAGGCAUUCUUUAGCAUAUAAUAUACAAAUAAACCUACUUAUCAAUUUUUGUAAUAUAGAUUUGGGGCCUUUUGUGGAUUUUUAUGUAGACGAGUAGUGGAACACUAAUGAGAUGAUUGCAAAAAAUAAAUCUAGACUAAAAGGGGAAUUCUAAUAAAAUGCAAGAUUUUCAUCAUUGUUCACACGAUUAUGUCUUUCCAGUAGCAAUUUCAGUGACUUAUAUUUUAAUGUGUUUUAAUACUGUGUUGGGGCACAAGGGGAGUCAUUUUUUGUAAGCUUUGUGCUCAAAGGGGUUGUGACUCUGAGAGGACCAUGUGACUCUGCCUGAUCCAUCAUGUCAGGUGAGCUAAACUAGCGUUAAACUCUCAGGAAAAGACAGAGAAAUAGUGAGUGCCGCAAAAUCAGGGUCUCCCAGUGGUAAUGUUUUAUGUGUGUAUUUGUGAGCGUGUGAAGCACACACAUGUGUGUUUUGAAGAAUGUAUGUGUCUCUGUGGUGAAUAGGUAUGCGUGGCUUGUGUGUGUGAGCCUGUGUGCAUACUGUAUGUGGGUGUGUUUAUAAAAGUGCUUCCUAAUUUCCUUGGUUAACACAAUCUUUGAAUUUGUUUUUUUUUUUUUGGAUAAAGUUUAGUAGCCUCAUGAACUUGUGUACAGUAUCAAAGCCCCUUGUUCUUACUUUGGUCUAUAUUGUUUGUACAAGAAAACAAUGAUGAGGAAGUUCCUGUAAGCAUGCAGACACAAUAUGAGUCCUAUAGAUAUAUUGGAUUUAUACUAUUAUUUAUUUUAUUUCUGUACUUAUUUAUUUGUCUUACUAUUUAAGAUUUAUUUUUUACGGUUUCGAUUCUGUUUAGUGAUCUGUCAUGCCACCCUCAUAUUGUGAAUAUGUUGUACUGUAUGUAUAAACAUUAUAUGUGCAUACAUACGAUGAACAAGGAAUAAAUUCUUGAAACUUUUUUUGUCUUUAAAUUACAGAAUUUAUGAGGAUUCAACACCUUAACCGUUUUCAAGCAAAAUAGAUUAAGUGAUGCACAUUUGCCAACAGUAUAAAAUCAUGAGGAAUCUCUCCACACCCCACGACUACUCUUCUAAUUUGUCUGGCAAGCUGGAGGACGGGCGCUCAGUGCGCGCUGGCUGCUCCUGUUGCUCUGGCGCAUGUGGCUGGAUUCCCAGGGAUCCCCAGUGUUCAGCAGCUUGCGCUUCUAACAAUCUAUGACCCUUCAAAGAGGCCAUGAAAACGCACGGCUCCUGUCGUCAAUGGUUGUCUACCAGUCAUCCUUUUUGAAUACCAGGUCAAUAAAUGUAAGUGUAUCAACAAUGAAAGCCACUUGACAGGCGCAUCGACAAAGUGUGGUGCCUUUUAUCGUUUUGUGUUAUCCACACACACGAGGGCCAAUAGUAAACAUUGUGUGGCUAUUGUUUCAAAAAGUAUUGACUUUGUUGUUGAAGUCCGGAAAAUAGCUUUUUUAAUGACCCACAGAGUGGUUUUGCAAACAGGAAGGCAAGUCAAAAAUCAUGUCCUCCAAAAUAUUUGCCACUCAACAGGCUUGGAACACCUUGUAACUCUCAAACCCAUAUUACGUUGUCAAGUAGCCCAAUUACUGUCAUUGAUUAAUUCAUUUAAUCUGCCCUUUAUCUAAUCCUUUCUCUAAUCCUGUUUGACCGAGAUUACGGAUUACCAUUAUUUGUCCACUAAGAGA